rnacentral:rRNA from 1 species
GACGAACGCUGGCGGCGUGCCUAAUACAUGCAAGUCGAACGCAGUGGGGACGGGUGAGUAACACGUGGGUAACCUCCCAUCAGAGGGGAUAACACUUGGCAACAGGUGCUAAACCGAUACUGAUGGAUGGACCCGGGGUGCAUUAGCUAGUUGGUGAGGUAAAGGCUCACCAGGGCCAGGAUGCAUAGCCGACCUGCGAGGCUGAGCGGCCACAUGGGGACUGAGACACGGCCCAGACUCCUACGGGAGGCAGCAGUAGGGAAUCUUCGGCAAUUGACGAAAGUCUGACCGAGCAACGCCGCGUGAGUGAAGAAGGUUUUCGGAUCGUAAAACUCUGUUGUUAGAGAAGCGGUAUCUAAACAGAAAGCGACGGCUAACUACGUGCCAGCAGCCGCGGUAAUUC